rnacentral:rRNA from 1 species
GUCUGAUGUGAAAGCCCACGGCUCAACCGCGGAGGGGCAUUGGAAACUGGCAAACUUGAGUGCAGAAGAGGAAAGUGGAAUUCCAUGUGUAGCGGUGAAAUGCGCAGAGAUAUGGAGGAACACCAGUGGCGAAGGCGACUUUCUGGUCUGUAACUGACGCUGAUGUGCGAAAGCGUGGGGAUCAAACAGGAUUAGAUACCCUGGUAGUCCACGCCGUAAACGAUGAGUGCUAAGUGUUAGGGGGUUUCCGCCCCUUAGUGCUGCAGCUAACGCAUUAAGCACUCCGCCUGGGGAGUACGACCGCAAGGUUGAAACUCAAAGGAAUUGACGGGGACCCCACAAGCGGUGGAGCAUGUGGUUUAAUUCGAAGCAACGCGAAGAACCUUACCAAAUCUUGACAUCCUUUGACCACUCUACAGAUAGAGCUUUCCCCUUCGGGGGACUAAGUGACAGGUGGUGCAUGG